rnacentral:rRNA from 1 species
UACGUAGGGUGCAAGCGUUGUCCGGAAUUAUUGGGCGUAAAGAGCUCGUAGGCGGUUUGUCGCGUCUGCUGUGAAAACUCGGGGCUUAACUCCGGGCCUGCAGUGGGUACGGGCAGACUAGAGUGCGGUAGGGGAGACUGGAAUUCCUGGUGUAGCGGUGAAAUGCGCAGAUAUCAGGAGGAAUACCGGUGGUGUAGACGGCUCUCUGGACCGCCACUGACGCUGAGGAGCGAAAGCGUGGGGAGCGAACAGG